CCUACGGGAGGCAGCAGUGGGGAAUAUUGCACAAUGGGGGAAACCCUGAUGCAGCGACGCCGCGUGAGUGAAGAAGGAUUUCGGUACGUAAAGCUCUAUCAGCAGGGAAGAAAAGGACGGGACCUGACUAAGAAGCCACGGCUAACAACGGGCAAGCAGCCGCGGUAAUCCGUAGGGGGCAAGCGUUAGCCGGAGUUACUGGGGGUAAAGGGAGCGGAGACGGCAGGGCAAGUCUGAAGUGAAAUCCCCUGGCUUAACCAUUGAACUGCCUUGGAAACUGUGCAGCUGGAGUGCAGGAGAGGUCAGCGGAAUUCCUCGUGUAGCGGUGAAAUGCGUAGCUAUUAGGAGGAACACCAGUGGCGAAGGCGGCUUCCUGGACUGUCCCUGACGUUGCGGCUCGAAAGCGUGGGGAGCAAACAGGAUUAGAUACCCUAGUAGUC
rnacentral:rRNA from 1 species